GGCUCGGUAAUCAAGGGGUAUGAUUCUCGCUUCGGGUACGAGAGGUCACGGUUUCAAUUCCGGUCGAGCCC